rnacentral:rRNA from 1 species
AACGCGAAGAACCUUACCUGGGCUUGACAUGUCCCUGACCGCCGUGGAAACACGGCUUCCCUUCGGGGCAGGGUCACAGGUGGUGCAUGGCUGUCGUCAGCUCGUGUCGUGAGAUGUUGGGUUAAGUCCCGCAACGAGCGCAACCCCCGUCGCAUGUUGCCAGCAUUUAGUUGGGGACUCAUGCGAGACUGCCGGUGACAAACCGGAGGAAGGUGGGGAUGACGUCAAGUCAUCAUGCCCCUUAUGUCCAGGGCUACACACGUGCUACAUUGGCGCGUACAGAGGGUUGCGAUACCGCGAGGUGGAGCGAAUCCCUCAAAGCGCGUCUCGGUUCGGAUUGCAGGCUGAAACUCGCCUGCAUGAAGGCGGAGUUGCUAGUAAUCGCGGAUCAGCACUGCCGCGGUGAAUACGUUCCCGGGCCUUGUA